AUGGCAUCAUUAGCCAACCUCUUAGCAUCGCUUCUCUUGAUUGCAAUCUUCUCUCCUACACCCAUACUAUGCUAUCUUAAUCAAGCUUCUGUAAGGGUACAACAGGGUGCUACCAACACCUCUGCCUACCACACUUACAUCGUGCUCGUUGAGCCACCACCCUUUAAUGCCGAUGAAGACAUGUACCAUCAUUGGUAUGAGUCUUUUUUGCCCAGUUCGCGUGAUGGCGACUUGGGCAAGGCACGUCUUGUGCACUCUUACACCAAGGUGUUUAGCGGCUUCGCCACAAUGCUCACUGAUGGGGAGCUUGAUGUAGUUGCCAAGAAACCGGGGUUCGUGUGGGCAUUCAAGGAGAAAACACGGUACCUCAUGACCACGCGCACACCAAAGUUCCUUGGGUUGAGGAACGGCACCGGGUUCUGGAGGGACGCUAGCUACGGGAAGGGGGUCAUUGUUGGCUUGCUCGAUACCGGCAUCUAA
rnacentral:rRNA from 1 species